UAGCAAUAGCUAAUUGCGAAUAUCGACUCUGUCGAAUAAAAUUCUAGGUAGAAUUAUGAUAAUGACAUUGUCUGCCUAUGUGUCUUGACCAAAUUACGUGCCAGCAGUCGCGGUAAUACGUAGAAGACUAGUGUUAUUCAUCUUUAAUAGGUUUAAAGGGUACCUAGACGGUAAAUCAAGCACUAAUUUACUAGAGUUAUUUGUGAGGGGGUAUUAAAGUACUGCUGGUGUAGAGAUAAAAUUCUGUCAUACCUUUUUUCGAUGGCACAGGUAUAGGCGAAAGCAUCCCCUUAUGUGUUAACUGACGUUGAAGGACGAAGGCUUUGUGUGCGAACAGGAUUAGAUACCCCAGUAUCAAAGCAGAAAAUGAUGAGUGUCAUAGAUUAGACAGUUUGUUCUAUAAAUGAAAGUGUAAGCAUUCCACCUCAAGAGUAAUUUGGCAACAUUGGAACUGAAAUCAUUAGACCGUUUCUGAAACCAGUAGUGAAGUAUGUUGUUUAAUUUGACGCCCCGCAAAAAACCUUACCACAAUUUGAAUAGAUAUCUCU
rnacentral:rRNA from 2 species